GGUAUCAAUAACUUGUGUAACUUCAUACCAACCCAAUUGUCAGCUCUAACAUGACAUGUUUUAUUAUAUAGGUACAAAACUUGGAAUAAUUACAAUGGCAUCUCCAGCCUUAUUGAAUCAUUAACUAGGAAACAAUAAUGGAGGUGAAUUGUUCAAAUAACAAAAUACAUGAUUUUCGUGUGGAUAAAUAUACCCACAUAUGGCAACAAUUCCAACAGAUUAAAAGGAGACUGGGUGGAGAUGUGUGAUAAAGACCAUUUCAACUGAAAAUCCCCAACUGAUCACUACUAUAUUAAAUGCUUUUCCCGCUGCAAACUUUGACUUGUUGUCUUGUUGUCAAUUCUUAGUCGGUAAGACUGGAUUGCUGCUUGCACCUGUUCUGUUGUCUCUGAAUUUGUUGUGACAAUUGAAACUAUUAGAAAAUGAUUUGUUACUGUAAUGAUGGGUGGUAUUAGAAAUGAAACUAUACAUAAUCUCCAUUUUUACUUUCUAGGUGAAACCUUAAUUUGUUACUGUCUCUGCCUCUACCCACUGUUUUGUAUCCCAUGAAACAAACUAUGAAAUUGAAUAAAUAUGGACUCUUCUGUAGCUUUCUUUUCCUCAUCAAUGAUUAUAUUCCAUGCCUUCCUCACCUUUGUCUAUUAUUUUGCUAUGGUAUAAAAAGGUAACAAAUAAAGAGAAAAGUAGACUAAAGUGAUUUAUCUAACUAUAAUAAGAAAUGGUAAAGAGUUUUGAUUAUAUAUUGCUAAACCCCAAACAUAAUAAAUUGCAUAUUAUUUUAAUGCAAAAGUUAAUCUUGCAAUUCACAUGCAAUUUAUCUUAGAAGAUAAGAUAAUGUAAGAGUUGCGGGCUUGUAGCCAUUUAAUCCCCAUGUGAGACUUCGUAGGUUGAACCUCGCAACCAUUCAUCAUCCCUGCUAUAGUGCAUUUAACCAAUCACUUCACAACAGAUCUUGAGGCCUUGAUGGGUCCACUAUGUAUGCUCAAUUACAAUAGGAGCGAUGAACUGCAAGAAGGGUUGUCUAAUUAUGAAAUCGAUACUAUGUAAAAGGCCAAAUUUCCAACAUGAUAACUUGACUAUUGAUGAAGAAAGUGUUAAGUUACCUUGGGUUAAGCAAUUGAGCCUGCCCAACAAUGGAGAGUGUAGUAAGGGGCUUGCGGUCAAACAAACAAGUUUUCUAACAUAUUGGGAGAGUGAUAAGAAGAUUUUGCAAUAUUUGGUCAAUGGGAACAAGAAGAUUACUACCACAUGUUUCAGGAGCAAUUAAGUGCAAACACUUGUUUGGAGAUGCUAAAUGAGGUUAAUGUGUGUCAUGUGGAGGCAUUGGUGUUUGUCAUGGUCCAGAAUAGCAAGAAGUUAUGCUGCCACUAAGGGUACUAUUGUUUCAUAUAAUUAUAGUGUGAAAACACUGUUUACCAUAGUGAGGACUUGCAUACAUGACCACAACUACAAUUUCAUAAGUAGGGGUUGAUUAAUAAUUCUUUUCCUGUAAUUUUUGGUAAUUAAAUCCCAAAUUAUGUAAUUGGUGUACAUGGGUAUUGUUAUAAUUUAAGGUGUAAUUAAAAAUUGUGAAAUGCAUUUUUGUAUUGGUAAAGCUGUAAUGCAAAAAAUUGCACACAAACAACUCAUGUACCCCAUUGAUUAGGCUACAUAUGUAACAGAACAAAUGUCCAAAUGUUGUCAUGUAGAUUUCUGACACAAUUUAUUUGCCUUGUGAUGAGUCAUUUU